rnacentral:rRNA from 1 species
AGACCCGAAACCCGGUGAUCUAGCCAUGGGCAGGUUGAAGGUUGGGUAACACUAACUGGAGGACCGAACCGACUAAUGUUGAAAAAUUAGCGGAUGACCUGUGGCUGGGGGUGAAAGGCCAAUCAAACCGGGAGAUAGCUGGUUCUCCCCGAAAGCUAUUUAGGUAGCGCCUCGUGAAUUCAUCUCCGGGGGUAGAGCACUGUUUCGGCUAGGGGGCCAUCCCGGCUUACCAACCCGAUGCAAACUGCGAAUACCGGAGAAUGUUAUCACGGGAGACACACGGCGGGUGCUAACGUCCGUCGUGAAGAGGGAAACAACCCAGACCGCCAGCUAAGGUCCCAAAGUCAUGGUUAAGUGGGAAACGAUGUGGGAAGGCCCAGACAGCCAGGAUGUUGGCUUAGAAGCAGCCAUCAUUUAAAGAAAGCGUAAUAGCUCACUGGUCGAGUCGGCCUGCGCGGAAGAUGUAACGGGGCUAAACCAUGCACCGAAGCUGCGGCAGCGAACGUAUCACCCAAGACAACUUUACGGAGUUGACGAUUGACGGAGCGAAGCGACGUCAAAGCGUUCAUUAAAGUCGAGUUGGCUUAGGGAUACGUUCGUUGGGUAGGGGAGCGUUCUGUAAGCCUGUGAAGGUGUGUCGUGAGGCAUGCUGGAGGUAUCAGAAGUGCGAAUGCUGACAUAAGUAACGAUAAAGCGGGUGAAAAGCCCGCUCGCCGGAAGACCAAGGGUUCCUGUCCAACGUUAAUCGGGGCAGGGUGAGUCGACCCCUAAGGCGAGGCCGAAAGGCGUAGUCGAUGGGAAACGGGUUAAUAUUCCCGUACUUGGUGUUACUGCGAAGGGGGGACGGAGAAGGCUAUGUUGGCCGGGCGACGGUUGUCCCGGUUUAAGCGUGUAGGUGUGUGUUCCAGGUAAAUCCGGUUCACUUUAACACUGAGGCGUGACGACGAGGCACUACGGUGCUGAAGCAACAAAUGCCCUGCUUCCAGGAAAAGCCUCUAAGCAUCAGGUAACACGAAAUCGUACCCCAAACCGACACAGGUGGUCAGGUAGAGAAUACCAAGGCGCUUGAGAGAACUCGGGUGAAGGAACUAGGCAAAAUGGUGCCGUAACUUCGGGAGAAGGCACGCUGACACGUAGGUGAAGUGAUUUACUCAUGGAGCUGAAGUCAGUCGAAGAUACCAGCUGGCUGCAACUGUUUAUUAAAAACACAGCACUGUGCAAACACGAAAGUGGACGUAUACGGUGUGACGCCUGCCCGGUGCCGGAAGGUUAAUUGAUGGGGUCAGCGUAAGCGAAGCUCCUGAUCGAAGCCCCGGUAAACGGCGGCCGUAACUAUAACGGUCCUAAGGUAGCGAAAUUCCUUGUCGGGUAAGUUCCGACCUGCACGAAUGGCGUAAUGAUGGCCAGGCUGUCUCCACCCGAGACUCAGUGAAAUUGAACUCGCUGUGAAGAUGCAGUGUACCCGCGGCAAGACGGAAAGACCCCGUGAACCUUUACUAUAGCUUGACACUGAACAUUGAGCCUUGAUGUGUAGGAUAGGUGGGAGGCUUUGAAGUGUGGACGCCAGUCUGCAUGGAGCCGACCUUGAAAUACCACCCUUUAAUGUUUGAUGUUCUAACGUGGACCCGUAAUCCGGGUUGCGGACAGUGUCUGGUGGGUAGUUUGACUGGGGCGGUCUCCUCCUAAAGAGUAACGGAGGAGCACGAAGGUUGGCUAAUCCUGGUCGGACAUCAGGAGGUUAGUGCAAUGGCAUAAGCCAGCUUGACUGCGAGCGUGACGGCGCGAGCAGGUGCGAAAGCAGGUCAUAGUGAUCCGGUGGUUCUGAAUGGAAGGGCCAUCGCUCAACGGAUAAAAGGUACUCCGGGGAUAACAGGCUGAUACCGCCCAAGAGUUCAUAUCGACGGCGGUGUUUGGCACCUCGAUGUCGGCUCAUCACAUCCUGGGGCUGAAGUAGGUCCCAAGGGUAUGGCUGUUCGCCAUUUAAAGUGGUACGCGAGCUGGGUUUAGAACGUCGUGAGACAGUUCGGUCCCUAUCUGCCGUGGGCGCUGGAGAACUGAGGGGGGCUGCUCCUAGUACGAGAGGACCGGAGUGGACGCAUCACUGGUGUUCGGGUUGUCAUGCCAAUGGCACUGCCCGGUAGCUAAAUGCGGAAGAGAUAAGUGCUGAAAGCAUCUAAGCACGAAACUUGCCCCGAGAUGAGUUCUCCCUGAGACUUAGAGUCUCCUGAAGGAACGUUGAAGA